AUACGGAGGAUCCGAGCGUUAUCCGGAUUUAUUGGGUUUAAAGGGAGCGUAGGUGGACAGUUAAGUCAGUUGUGAAAGUUUGCGGCUCAACCGUAAAAUUGCAGUUGAUACUGGCUGUCUUGAGUACAGUAGAGGUGGGCGGAGUUCGUGGUGUAGCGGUGAAAUGCUUAGAUAUCACGAAGAACUCCGAUUGCGAAGGCAGCUCACUGGACUGCAACUGACACUGAUGCUCGAAAGUGUGGGUAUCAAACAGGAUUAGAUACCCUGGUAGUCCACACAGUAAACGAUGAAUACUCGCUGUUUGCGAUAUACAGUAAGCGGCCAAGCGAAAGCAUUAAGUAUUCCACCUGGGGAGUACGCCGGCAACGGUGAAACUCAAAGGAAUUGACGGGG
rnacentral:rRNA from 1 species